UUUCACAAGUCAUAUGCCUUCACUUUGUCGCAGAAAUUACAAACCUUCUCCGUUUUUAAAUUCCCAGAUAUCUUUUACGCAUUCUUUUCUUCCUUCUUAAUAUCAAAAUCAAUCUCUUAUUUUCUUUCAUCUCUUUAGAUUGGUUAAUUAAAGAAGCUCAAGUAAAACCAAAACAAUCCUAUCCCAAUUUAAUUUUAUUCCAACAACAAAACCCUAAUUUUAAUUUGUUUAUGUUAAAUUAAUCACCAAUGGCACCUCCGAUGAAAUUCAGCAGACCAGGCGGAUACAAGGAGCCCGACGGAGCGGAAGCGGCGUCGAACAAUCUAUGGGUUGGGAAUUUGGCUCUGGAUGUAACGGAUUCGGAUCUUAUGGAUCUAUUCGUGAAAUACGGUGCUCUUGAUAGCGUGACGACGUAUUCUUCUAGGAGCUACGCGUUCUUGUAUUUUAAGCGUGUGGAGGACGCUAUUGCUGCUAAAGAUGCUCUACAAGGAACCAUUCUUCGCGGAAAUCCUUUGAGAAUCGAGUUUGCUCGACCGGCAAAACCCUCUAAGAAUCUGUGGGUGGGUGGAAUCAGCCCAGCAAUUUCUGAGGAACUGCUGGAGGAGGAGUUUCUUAAAUUUGGUAAAAUUGAGGAAUUUAAGUUUGUUAGAGACCUGAAUACUGCAUUUAUCGAGUAUGAAAAUCUGGAAGAUGCUUUAGAAGCCAUGAAAAGUAUGAACGGGAAGCGACUUGGUGGCGAUCAGAUACGCGUGGAUUUCCUUCGGUCACAAUCCUUAAGAAGACAGGAACAGUUUCCCGACUUUCGUGAUUCAAAAGAUGGUCAGUUUUUUGUUGCACACGCUGGACGACUGCAGCAUACUCAGCCUUCAGGGGGGCGAAAGGAAGGUCCACCCAGUAAGGUAUUGUGGGUAGGGUAUCCUCCUUCUGUGCAGAUUGAUGAACAAAUGCUUCAUAAUGCAAUGAUUCUUUUUGGUGAAAUUGAAAGGAUAAAAAGCUUCCCAUCAAGGCAUUACUCAUUUGUUGAAUUUAGAAGUAUUGAUGAAGCCCGGCGUGCUAAAGAAGGCUUGCAGGGUCGUCUUUUUAAUGAUCCUCGCAUUUCAAUAAUGUUUUCAAGCAGUGAGCUAGCUCCUGGUAAAGAUUACUCUAGUUUUAAUGCUGGAGGUAAAGGACCCAGACCUGAGAAUUUCAAUGAGCAUUCAUUUGGUUCUAACCAGCUAGAAGUAUUGGAUCAUCAUCAUCCUAUGGGCCUACGUACUUUUCCUGGACCAUUGCAACCAAAGUUUAAUGAUUUGGCUCCUUUGCAUGGUGUCCGAGAUGGGAAUUCCAGCAUUUCGACUGGGCCAAACUGGAGAAGGCCGUCUCCUGAAGCUGGGAUUUUGCCAUUGCCAACUUCAAGGGUUAGGCCACCAACGAGGUCAGUACCUACGGGAUGGGAUGUGCUUGACCCCGGUCAGUAUCAGAGGGAACCAAAGCGGUCAAGAAUUGAUACUUCAUCUCCCACUGAUGAGGAUUCUUUUCUUGCAAGAAAGGUUGAUGAUCGUCGACUGGGUUUGGACAAAACAUAUAGAUUUGGUCCUCCUGCUGAUGCAGGUAUCUCUAGUCCAUUUACUAAUGUUCACGGGAAGCAGAGUCUUAGUCCAGCUAGUGGAAGGGCUGCAGGAGGAUCACAUCACCUUGAUUUUAUUUGGCGAGGUAUUAUAGCCAAGGGUGGAACACCAGUUUGCAAUGCUCGUUGUGUCAAUUUAGAUAAAGGAACAGAUUUAGAACUUCCUGAAGUUGUUAAUUGCUCGGCCAGAACAGGAUUGGAUAUGCUCACGAAACACUAUGCUGAGGCCAUAGGAUUUGAAAUUGUCUUCUUCUUGCCAGAUAGUGAGGAUGACUUUGCUUCGUAUACUGAAUUUCUUCGCUACUUAGGUUCUAAAAACCGUGCUGGUGUUGCCAAGUUUGAUGACGGGACCACACUCUUUCUGGUCCCUCCAUCAGAUUUUUUGACAGAUGUGUUGAAAGUCGAAGGACCUGAACGUCUCUAUGGUGUAGUCCUCAAGUUGCCACAAGUCACUAGUAGUGCAUCAAUACAGCCUCAGCUACACCAGCCCAACCAUUUGCCUCAGUAUAUUGAUAGACAUCAGAUUCCUCCAGCAGAAAUUAACUAUAAUCAGAUUGCUCGGAAGGAGGAACCUAUGGUGCCGGUGGAUUACAACAGGGUUUUGCAUGACAACCAGAAGCAUCCAUCAAAAAUGUUUUAUCCGUGGCCAACUGAAUCUAUGGCAGAGCGGUCUGUCCAUCAAGAGUAUGCUUCUAAUAACACAAUAGCAGCUUCUCAAGCAGGAGCAGCUUUGACACCUGAGCUUAUUGCUAGUCUUACAUCUCUAUUGCCUGCAACUGCACAGUCCUCUGUUUUAGCAAGUGUUCAACCACCCUCAGUUGCAAGGCCUCCAUUUUCUUCAGUUCCUGCUGAUAAAGGAGCUCCAUAUGAAUGGAAGCAUUCUGGAAACACAAGUCACUUACAGUAUGGGAGCCAGUUCAAUUCUCAGUCGCAAUCUAUGCAGCCUUAUCCAUCCAUGUCUAUUGCACCUAACAUUCCAGAAAAUUUUUUCCCUAGCGCUACCCAUAUCCAAGAUUCCUCUAUCAACCUACCACACCAGGGUGGAAUUCAACCUAGACAGUUGACUAAUAUGACGAUGCCUUCCCAGAGUGGACAAGUUGGUUUUCCACCACAUGUUAACCAGCAAUAUAAGCAUGAAGCUCCUCAUCAGAAGGCAUAUAAUGGGAUGGCGCAUGGAAUGGAGGGAUCUUAUAGUCCAUCAGUUAUUCAGCAAUAUAGCAAUUCUGCUAUCUUCUCUGGUCAGGCUCAGGGUGGUAAUCAUACCCAGACACCAUCUGGGAUGCCUUUUUCUGCUGACAGAGUAAAUUGGGAGGCUCCCAAUCAGAUGCAGCAGUUUCAAACUGCUCCCUCUGUUUCUGGUCAGGGUACAUCUGAGGUUGAGGUAGACAAAAAUCAGCGGUACCAGUCAACAUUACAGUUUGCUGCAAAUCUCCUCCUCCAGAUACAGCAGCAACAACAGCAGCAAACAGGUAAUCCAGCAGUGCGAGGAUCUGGACAUCAACAAUGACAUUCCUGUUAUAUAGGUUCACGUAGUCAUGAGUUCAGCGGUGCUAUAAUUGUGUUGAUAAGUUUCUCGCGAGCCACAGGAGUAGAAGAGCAAAGAGCACUCUCCUUUCAGCACCUUGCUCAGGGUGGAAUGCAUGCAUACACGAACAUGCUACACUUCAAUCUUGAUCGUCAAUUUAUUUUACAAGGGGGGAAUAUGCUAGGUAGUUGCGCCAUUCCUGAUGUCUUCAAAUUGGAAUCUUGCAUCGGGUGCCUAUACCACCAGCCGAAGGGUCCUUUGCAGUUAAGCUUUUGCAAUCUAUUCAAAUCCAGGGUGGACGCACAAAAUCAGAAGUCGUGUACAUAUUUGUUUGUGAAUUCUGAUGAUCUUUUGCCUAUUCAGAUAGAAUUAGAUGAAUAGAAUUGUAAAAAUAGGUUUUCCGGCCAGUCUGGCUUUUGUAUUUUUCUGUUUAAUGAGUCUGUUGUUUGGUUAUAUUUAUCUAGCUUGUGACUUUUGCAAAUUCAAUUUUGUGGUUUUAUGUUUACGAGAGAUCAAUUUAAAAGCCACUCUAGUCUCUGGCUUGCAAAGUUUCAGCUGAAAAAUAACAUCAUAAGGUUUCAGUCUCA